rnacentral:rRNA from 1 species
UCCGUAGGUGAACCUGCGGAGGGAUCAUUAUGCUCGCUGAUAGUCGUCGCUGACGCUAUGUUCACAACCCUUUGUUGUCCGACUCUGUUGCCUCCGGGGCGACCCUGCCUCCGGGCGGGGGCCCCGGGUGGACAUUUCAAACUCUUAUGCUCGCUCGUAGAUGUAGUAAAUUUAAUUAAUAAAUUAAAACUUUCAACAACGGAUCUCUUGGUUCUGGCAUCGAUGAAGAACGCAGCGAAAUGCGAUAAGUAAUGUGAAUUGCAGAAUUCAGUGAAUCAUCGAAUCUUUGAACGCAAUGCUCGCUGUAGAUGCUCGUGAGGGGCAUGCCUGUCCGAGCGUCAUUUCACCACUCAAGCCUCGCUUGGUAUUGGGCGACGCGGUCCGCCGCGCGCCUCAAAUCGACCGGCUGGGUCUUUCGUCCCCUCAGCGUUGUGGAAACUAUUCGCUAAAGGGUGCCGCGAUGCUCGCUGAUAGUAGAUAACCCAUGCUGUAAGGUUGACCUCGGAUCAGGUAGGGAUACCCGAUAGUGCUCAGCAUAUCAAUAAGCGGAGGA